rnacentral:rRNA from 1 species
GAGUUUGAUCCUGGCUCAGGACGAACGCUGGCGGCGUGCCUAAUACAUGCAAGUCGAGCGAGCUGAAUUCAAAGAUCCCUUCGGGGUGAUUUGUUGGACGCUAGCGGCGGAUGGGUGAGUAACACGUGGGCAAUUUGCCCUAAAGACUGGGAUACCACUUGGAAACAGGUGCUAAUACCGGAUAACAACAUGAAUCGCAUGAUUCAAGUUUGAAAGGCGGCGCAAGCUGUCACUUUAGGAUGAGCCCGCGGCGCAUUAGCUAGUUGGUGGGGUAAAGGCCUACCAAGGCAAUGAUGCGUAGCCGAGUUGAGAGACUGAUCGGCCACAUUGGGACUGAGACACGGCCCAAACUCCUACGGGAGGCAGCAGUAGGGAAUCUUCCACAAUGGACGCAAGUCUGAUGGAGCAACGCCGCGUGAGUGAAGAAGGUUUUCGGAUCGUAAAGCUCUGUUGUUGGUGAAGAAGGAUAGAGGCAGUAACUGGUCUUUAUUUGACGGUAAUCAACCAGAAAGUCACGGCUAACUACGUGCCAGCAGCCGCGGUAAUACGUAGGUGGCAAGCGUUGUCCGGAUUUAUUGGGCGUAAAGCGAGCGCAGGCGGAAUGAUAA